GGGGAAUUUUCCGCAAUGGGCGAAAGCCUGACGGAGCGACACCGCGUGGAGGACGAAAUUUUUCGGAAUGUAAACUCCUUUUGGCAGGCAUGAAACAAAUGACAGUACCUGCAGAAUAAGCAUCGGCUAACUACGUGCCAGCAGCCGCGGUAAUACGUAGGAUGCGAGCGUUGUUCGGAAUUACUGGGCAUAAAGAGUACGUAGGCGGCAAUGAAAGUCUGAUAUUAAAGACUGGGGCUUAACCUCAGGAGUGUAUCGGAAACUUCAUAGCUAGAGGACAGUAGAGGAAGUCGGAAUUCCCAGUGUAGCGGUGAAAUGCGUAGAUAUUGGGAGGGACACCAGUGGCGAAAGCGGACUUCUGGGCUGUGACUGACGCUGAGGUACGAAAGUGUGGGGAGCAAAC
rnacentral:rRNA from 1 species